UGGGGAAUAUUGGGCAAUGGGCGCAAGCCUGACCCAGCAACGCCGCGUGAAGGAAGAAGGCUUUCGGGUUGUAAACUUCUUUUAAGAGGGAAGAGCAGAAGACUGUACCUCUAGAAUAAGCCACGGCUAACUACGUGCCAGCAGCCGCGGUAAUACGUAGGUGGCAAGCGUUGUCCGGAUUUACUGGGUGUAAAGGGCGUGCAGCCGGGAAUGCAAGUCAGAUGUGAAAUCCAUGGGCUUAACCCAUGAACUGCAUUUGAAACUGUAUUUCUUGAGUACUGGAGAGGCAAUCGGAAUUCCUAGUGUAGCGGUGAAAUGCGUAGAUAUUAGGAGGAACACCAGUGGCGAAGGCGGAUUGCUGGACAGCAACUGACGGUGAGGCGCGAAAGUGUGGGGAGCAAACAGGA
rnacentral:rRNA from 1 species